CGCGCACACCCCGUGCUGGUUGGAAGUGGCACAAAAAGCCGAAAGCGUCGCGAGGACAAUGUUCACGAUGUGAAUCCACGGAGACGGAAACCGAGCGAACGGCUGCGACACGAGCGGAAAAGGGCGUGAGCGGGAUGUCCGUGGAUGAGAAGUCUGAAGCCCCCAUGUACGUGUAUGAGUCGACGGUUCACUGCACCAACAUCCUCCUGUGCCUGGACGACCAGCGGAAGCAGGACAUCCUGUGCGAUGUGACUGUCCUGGUGGAGGGCAAGGAGUUCCGCGGGCACCGGGCCGUGCUGGCCGCCUGCAGCGAGUACUUCCUCCAGGCGCUGGUGGGCCAGACGGAGAAUGGUUUGGUGGUCAGUCUUCCUGAAGAGGUCACUGCCAGAGGAUUUGCCCCUUUGUUGCAGUUUGCCUACACUGCUAAGCUGUUACUCAGCAGAGAAAACAUCCAGGAGGUCAUCCGCUGUGCUGAGUUCUUGCGCAUGCACAACCUGGAGGACUCGUGCUUUCGUUUCCUGGAAGCCCAGCUGCGCAGCGAGGAGGACGGCUUGCUGCUCUGCCACAAGGUGGCCCCGGAGGCCAACAGCUCUGAGGAUGAGAGCAUGCAGUCAGAGGUGGAGAGGCCCACCUCCCCCAGAGCGCGGCGGUGUGCCGAUGCCAUCGCCUCCUUUCGACACCCCGAUGAUGAUCAUCUAGCAGCGGUGGUGCCCAAUAACUUUACGGAUGGCCGGCUGGAGUUUGACCGGCACGGAGCCUCAGACCUGCCGCGAUGCCCCAAAUACAGGAAGUAUCAGUGGGCUUGUAACAAGCACAAUAAUGACACCUCCUCACACACCAGUACCUCAGGUUUUCCAAGCACAUUCAAGGAGAGCGGAUCAGCACCUGGUCCAGGCGCGCUGUCUUUGGCACAGAUCAAAGUCGAACCACAAGCAGGGGAGGAGGCGGUCUCGUUGUGCCUGUCGGGGGACGAGCAGGACGUCACCGAUAAGGAAGGCGUGACAACCAUGGAAAUGGAUAACCCUGUGUCAGUGGAAAGAACCAAGAGGAUCAAGUCCCCUUCCUGCCUCCGAGCCUUCUUCAAGAAAGGGGCGGACCUCCCGAGUCUGCCCAACACAUCGCAGCAGCUACUCACCAACAGACUCGUUAGCCCCCACGACAAAGGCAACUCUCAGGGAGAUCACAAAAAAGACUUCAGGCCUUUCACGGGGGAGCUGGGCCUGUCUGCGGCAUCCCCGAAGGACGAGGACAGUUUUCCUACUGGCUUGUCCCUAAAGUCUGCCUCCUGCGACGGGGUCUGCAAACAGGAGGUUGAACUGGACCGUCGUAGUGUCAUAUUUUCCUCAGGGGCCUGCAACCGUCUGGGAACGCCAGCACAUUCCUUCCCUGGAGGGAAUUCUUUGGAGAUGGAGCUCUCUGAGCACAUGCCAAAGGGCCUGUGGGCCGGAGCCAGCCAGUCCCUCCCCACCUCCCAGAACUAUUCUCCCGGCACCACCUCCACAGAGCCCCCACUCCUGUGCCGCCCGCGACCCAACACCAGCUGCCCAGUGCCAAUCAAAGUGUGCCCGCGCUCGCCGCCCUGUGAGACACGGACCAGGACGUCCAGCUCCUGCUCCUCUUACUCAUACGCGGAGGACGGCAGUGGUGGGUCUCCCUGCAGCCUCCCUCAGUUCGAGUUCUCCUCUUCUCCAUGCUCCAAUGUGGCACGCUGCCUCAACGUGGACCAGCAGGAGCCCAGCGUGGGCGGCGAAGCCCUUUUCAGCCAAGUGCGGCCCAAGAUCAAAUGUGAGCAGUCGUACGGCACCAACUCCAGCGACGAGUCCGGCUCCUUCUCAGAGGGAGACAGCGAGUCCUGCCACGUUCAGGAGCGAGGCUCAGAGGUGAAGCUCCCUUUCCCUGUCGAUCAAAUCACAAAUCUUCCAAGGAAUGACUUUCAGAUGUUGGUAAAAAUGCACAAACUGACUUCAGAGCAGCUUGAGUUCAUUCACGACGUCAGGCGGCGGAGUAAGAACCGCAUUGCCGCGCAGCGCUGCCGCAAGAGGAAGCUCGACUGCAUCCUGAACCUGGAGUGUGAGAUCAGAAAACUGGUGUGUGAGAAGGAGAAGCUGCUGACGGAGCGGAACCAGCUGAAGGCGUGUAUGGGUGAGCUGUGGGAGAACUUCUCCUGUCUGUCCCAGGAGGUGUGCCGGGACGUCCAGCUGAGCCCGGAGCAGGUCCAGUCCUUACACCACUACUGCCCCGUGUUGCGGCCCGCCAACUCCACUGCCAGCAGCGCCGCCGCCACCGCACACGAGCCUAAAGCCGGCGCCAUGCUGCCGGGCCACUCCACCACCAGCAUCGACCUCACCGCCCACUCAGGCACAGCAACGCCCGAACCCGCCCCCCGCGGGUCCCCCGGCCGCCCAGAGGGCGAGCCUGCUUUGUCAAUAAGGAACGGGCCGGUCAAAGACCUGGACAGCCACGCGGCCAGCUUGUACGCCGAGUCGGGACUGUGCGUGGAAAAGUCCAACCAGACGGUGACUGUGGACUUUUGCCAGGAAAUGACUGACAAAUGUACAACUGACGAGCAGCCGCGGAAGGACGGCGCCAAGUAGUGUUUGUUCUGUUUUUUUCUUAUUUAAUUUUGCUCUCGUGACGAACCCGUUCUUCGGGUUGUUGAGAAGUUCAGCCUCUGCCAGUGUCCACUGAAAACAAGCUUUCUUUGUAUUUAUGUCUUCUUGUUUUUUAAUGUUUGACACUAAAGUUGUCUUAACAGCAGCAAUACUGUUCUCCAGGUGUUGUCACGGUAACACAGUGAGACCUUCUCACCAAACCUUCCAGUGGUGCUAACCUUGGCCCGGCAGCAGCCUCCACACCGGAGACACUAAUGGUGAACCUCACAACCCAACCGCGCUCCUCGUCGGACUCUGCAGCUCCGCCUGCCUGUUGGUGUUUCAGAAUUCCUUUUACAAACAGAACUUUAAUCAGAUAAACAAGAAAUGAUGUCAGUUUCACUUACAAACAACAGCAAUCAUUAUUUUUACUCAGAAUAUCAACUUUGUCCCGUUAAUAAGAAAUAGGCUGAUUAGAGUGCCGUCUUUUGGCCCAUCUUCAAAAAGGUUUUUUUUAAUUCUCUUAAAAUUUGUCCCCAAACGCAUCAACUCCAAGUGACUGUUAGCAGCUUUACCACAGUAUUUUAAUUUCAUAUUUAGAUGUUUUUUUUAAGCUCCUCGUCCUUGUUUGCCUUCAAGGUUCAAACAUCGAGACACAUUCUGUUCAAACAUCUUAAUGUUCUUGAUUUAUAAAUUAAAAUAUGAUUUUCAAUAAUAAGUUUGCACAUUUGAGGCACUGGGAAAAAAAUCAGUAAUUUCAAUUUUCAAUAAUUUCAAUAAUUUUAACAUUUUCAAUAAUGUCUUAAACCUGUUGGAUCGCAUCCCUCGAGCCACUUUGACGGGUUCAGGCACAAAAACCAGUCAGUCCAUUGUUUAAACUGGAGAAACAUGCAGCUUAUGUAAAUCCACCAGAAAAUUCACAGAUUUCCAUCCAUCAAAUGAAAAUGCUUCAAAUAGUUGGAUAUUUUUCACGCUGAUCGUUACCUCAGCAGACGAGUGUACGUCAUUAAAAUGUGCAGUGUUGGACUUCCUGGGUUUUGCAUCUCAACCCUCCAAGUCGUUCUUUAAUAAAUGUAUUUAUUAAAGGAGUUUAUAUUGUGUAAAAACAUUUUAGCCUCUUCAAAAAGUUUCAGUCCGUUUCAUCUUAAAUCCACUAACUUCCCUGAUAUAAAUACAGUUUGUGCCUGAAAGGCUAAAUUUAAUCUUUUGUGACAUAUGUCACGGACGUCUGCGUCUAAGCUCCAUGACUAAUGUGCGACACGCCCACUGAGCCUGUCUGUGUUCUGUGGGACACGCCCACACAGUUUGUUCAUCCAUUCCAACACUCCCCCUCCCUGUGGAGCGUGGGCGUGGCCAGCAGCUCCUUUCCAUUUAAAGCAACAGAUGCAUGUUGCACCAAAAUAUAUAUUUUCUGCAUCUCCUCCGUUAUUGUGUCAUCGCUGCAGAGGCACAACGCAUCCAAAGUUCAAACGUGCUGAAACUGAGCAGCCAAAACAUGUGACCUUUGUGUGCGCAGCCAAUGAGUGCAGAGGGGGCGGAGACUGUGCUCACAAGAGAGGAGAAGCUAAUGCUAACCAGAACUGUGCAGCAACAGAUUAGUUUUCAUGCUCAGACCAAAGUACAAAAGACAAACUUGCACGGGGAAAACGUAGCGCCACCUUCAGCUGUGGAGUGGAACGUCGCUGCAGGGACCAAAGUGGUGCUGCAGUGCUGCGAUUCGUCCCCCCGAGGGGACGUUUGUCAAAGGAGCGCUGAAACACCACGGCGGGCACGAACAGCAGCUCUCCUCGUCUGGUUCGUCUCGUCCUGCUUUUCUUUGUCACCUUCUGUGGUUUUAUUCGUCCUUUGAUGAUCUCAGUGGCCCUUUUUGUCACAGCACUUCAAACUCAGGAAAAUCUUCUGAAUGUUCAACCUGAUUUCAUGAGAAACAAGAACACAGUUUGUGAGGAAGUUCUGAUGCAGUCAGACUGUAAAAUGUUCAUAUGCAAACAUGUCUUCAGCGUGUGGCGUUUGUAUUUUUUGUACAGGCCGUAAACAUUCCUCCUUUGCCUUCCUCAGCACUGAAAUGAAAGCAGGAAAAAAAUUUCACAGGCAGUUAAAAUUGUAAAUCUUUUCAUUUCCCCCAUUCGUCAGCAAUACCAUCGUGUUUGGAUGUCGUAUCGGUGACUUGUUGUUUGGCAGAAGGUAACGUGUAUAUAGUGACGCUCACGCUGGUUUGUGUACAGGUAGCGGCUCAGACGUCUUCUCACCGGGGUUCGUAUCGAAGGGAAAAUCUUUGCUUUGCGGUUUCCUGUCCUGCCUGACUUAUUCGCCAUCACGGCGGGUUUUCUUAUACUCAGGAAAUCAGCUCCACUCACUCAUUCACUCACUCACUCACUCACGCACACACACACGCAGUUCUGCUCACAUGUGUUUGGACACUGAAUUUUUUUUUGUUCUUUCUGAGCUUGUAAAAUUCAUUGUCCAAAUAUUUUUGGACCCGACUGUACUGUGCACACUUCCACAUCACAUUUGAGCCCCCCACAUGUAUAAAAGUGAUACAUUUGAGACGGGGCGUGUUUGAAGCCCCUCCUCUCCACCUUUGACUCCUCUUUAAAUGUGAAAAUAUUGUUGCCUUUUUCUUUUAUGACAUCACUUAUCAGUAUUCACAGAGGCUUUUGUGUCAACACUCACAGACAAGCUUUGAAUUUGUCCAGCGGCGCUGCUUUGAGCAGAAAACAAGGCUGACAGAAUGAGCCUGAAAAACAUGCCUAAUUUUAAAAAACAAACAGAUUUUAUGGUCUCAUUUCUUUGGUACUUUGUUUCAUCUGGAAUGUGAUGGGCCACAAGAAAAAUGUUUUUGGAAUUCUGAAUUAAAAGUCAGAGCUAUAAUUACAAAAUCUUCAAAUUUUGAGAACAAAGAAUUCUGCAGAAAAAGUUGAAAUUCUGUCAAAAGAGUCACAAUAUUGUUAGAUAGUCCUAAUUCUGAGUUUAAAAUUUGGAAAAAAGAGACUGGAAUUGAAAAAAAUUAAAUAAAUCAGAAUUCCGUGUGUCAGAAUUCUGAUUUGUUUUUUGUUUUGUUUUGGUAUUGUUGUUUUUUAAUCAGAAUUUUGAGUUUAGAGCUCUGCAACUAAAAUGGGAUUUCUGGGGGUCUAAGUUUUAGAGUAAUUUUUUUUAUUAGAUUUUUUUUUUUUAAUCUGAAUAUUGAGUUUGUACUAAUUUCAGCUAAAAUUAAAUUCUUGUGUAGGGGGAUUUUUUUUUUUUAAAUUUUUUUUAAGCAGGUGGCCCUGAUUUGAGCCAUUGGUUCCAGUUCCUGGUGCUCAGAACCAUUCAGCACCUAACCAACAGUCUUUAGAGACUGGAGCACUUAAAUUGGCACUUAUGGACAAUGUUUUGUUUGCAUCCGGUAAAAAUGUGUGUAUGAAAAAGAAGAAGCUGAACCUGUUAAGAAGCUAAUGUUUUGAGUGUUACGUUGGACAUUUGUUUAGGAAUGAAUAAGCUAAUUAAGAAUGAAUUUGAGGUGUUUGAGUCAUCACAAUAACAAUCUUCUAAGAUCGUACGUUUUUUGGCCGAACUGUGCGUUUACUUUGAACAUGUUGUCUGCAUGCUGCUUUUAGCAAUAAGCUUAGUUAGUUUGGUAGCUUCUCUUUGCCUCGAAAGUUCACUUUUUCUUUCAAAUGUUUCCGAAAACCAGAUGAACCUUUUCACUGGCUUUGAAACAAUCGAGGGUCAUAAUCACAAAAGAAAUGUGAAGCUUUAUUCUCCUUCUCUAAAGGGACACACCUUCUGGAAAGUUCGAGUGCACAACAGCGCCCCCACUUUGUCAUUUUCAGCCACAUGUCUAAACACAGCUAUUGCCUGGGCCUAAAAACUGGGAAUUUUGGGGGUGGGGGGGGGGUGUUGAUGGGUUCAGCCUUUGAUGUCCCAGGAGUAGAUGGCGCCCUCUGGUGGUUCUGUACUUUGAGGUUGUGGGUAAUAUGACUCACAUUAAAAUGAUUCUGAGCUGUAAAUCUUGAAAUCUUUCUGUGAAUAUAUCUAAAUGUUUAUCUGGGGGAGUUGACGUUUGAUGACAUCACAGAUGACCCUUCACGACCCCCGACGCUUAAUGAAGUCAGUUUUAGAUGUAGUUUAAACGAUGACCUCUCCAGCACGUGGAUUUGUGGAGUGUUUCUUAUUUUGUAGUACACGUGCGCACACACACACACACACACACACAGGUGCAGGCUGCAGCAUGGCCUGCAGGGGGAGCAGUUGGGGUUCUUGGGUUUGUGUUUCUCAUGUUUGUUUUUGGGGAUUUUGAAGCAGUAUUCACUGACACGGAGGUUCUGCCAACUUCAAAUCACAAAAUGUAAACUGUCCAAACCUCCUACUCGCCUCCGAUUUGCUUCGGUCACGUUCCUGCUCAGCGUUUCUGGUCGGUUGAAACCGUCUGUGUGACUUCAUGAAGUAUGUGUUGUAGCAAAUGUUUCCUCAUCGCAGCUCCUGAUGAUGAACUGAGCAGAAUGAACCACUGAAUGUUCUCACCUCAAUGUAACAGAUCUUUGAUUUGUAGAAAAAGAGGCAACGUAACGAAACAGGGUCCUCUUCAGUCAAAAAAGCUUUUUGUCCAGACCUCAGAAACCGUACCGUCUCCAUCUGGACCAUUCUGGUUUACACCACGGAGACCAUCAAGUUGACUUUUUGAAACAUCAGGCUCCAAACCUUUGAAACAGCUCUUCAGUCUGAAACACGUGUCAGGUAGAAGUUCAAAUCGCCCAGGAGUCUUCAGGUCUUUGUUAGGGCAGAGUCUGAAGCUUUCAGCUCUUUUCAGGUCAUUAAUACUGUGACAUCACCUGGGGGGUGUGGCUUGAUGGCCUCGCCCCUGCAGGUAUUGAUCGUCCAGGUGCAGUGGUGUUGGGAGUUUUUCCUUCUUGGCCUGUGCUCAACAUGACAUCCAAAAAGAAAAAUGGAUCAUAAAGAUGACAAGCCUGUCUGUGGUCAUCUUCAUUCAUGAUGUAAGCACUCGGAGUGGGCGGGCUUAACGCUGAUACUUUCCGAUGUGGGAAGGUCUGUUUGCACAAACGGUGUAGGACUGACCUGUUGUCCUGCAGGUGUCCAGAGGCGGUGAUUGUUUUGUGGUUUUCUAGGCCCUGAAUGUGGGUGUGUCACUCACAAACCACCUCGAGGGACCAAACAUACCACCCACAAAUGACCGGGUUCAUAUCCCUCAUGAACAUUUAUGUAUGAUAGUCAUCCCAGAGCUGGAGCCAGGUUAUGGGUUUAGUUUAGAUUAUUGGUUGAGUUAAUAGAGUUUUAAAAAGGACUAGUUUUACUUACCAAGUUACAGGGUAACAUAUGUCACGUCAUAGAAUCCAACGGGCAUCAACCUUAUUUGACCGUAACCAAACACUCAACACAGUCAAAACUAUUCCAUUUAUUAAUCCUAUUAGCUCAACCAAUAAUUUGCACCACUUUUUUACCUAAAUUGGAGCAACUUUAAACUUUGACCCCUGUACAAACUGAAAUUGACCUUUGUCACCAUUCUUGCUGUUUUUACCCCCAAACUCCUGAACUUACAGUCAGAUGGUCCAAACUACCUUUUUGGAAUCUCUGUGAUCAGACAAAUAAUGUGCUAUUGUUUUCAGUAUGACUGGAUCAUUUUUAAAUGUCCUGGUCCAUACUUGGUCCAUGUCUUGUCCUUGGCCACCCUGGACAUCCAGCAUCCUUUUUUGAAGUCCCUAUUGAUCGGUGACCAAAAUGGCGUAUCAAACAUUUUGUCACCCUGGCUCAUGGUGACUACAGACUGUUAUAAGUAGCAAACAGGUGGCAUCAAAACCACGUCUUUCCUUUUUAGUGGUUUGUGCUGUUUUCUCAAGCUUGAUGUCUUCUUUCACACUGUAUUCAAACACCUGUUGGUCUUGAAUACUGUGUGUAACCUUGCAGGCGGGUGGCCCCUGAAUCGGGAAGUUUGACCCCGAGUCAGGUGGGUGGCCCCUGAAUCGGGCUGUUUGACCCCGCGUCAGAUGGGUGGCCCCUGAAUUGGGCAGUUUGACCCUCAGUCAGACGUGUGGCCCCUGAAUUGGGCCGUGUGACCCCGGGUCAGGUGGGUGGCCCCUGAAUUGGGCAGUUUGACCCCGAGUCAGGUGGGUGGCCCCUGAAUCGGGAAGUUUGACCCCGAGUCAGGUGGGUGGCCCCUGAAUCGGGCCGUUUGACCCCAGGUCAGGUGGGUGGCCCCUGAAUUGGGCAGUUUGACCCUGAGUCAGACGUGUGGCCCCUGAAUCGGGCCGUUUGACCCCAGGUCAGGUGGGUGGCCCCUGAAUUGGGCAGUUUGAUCCUGAGUCAGACGUGUGGCCCCUGAAUCGGGCCAUUUGACCCCGCAUCAGGUGGGUGGCCCCUGAAUUGGGCAGUUUGACCCUCAGUCAGACGUGUGGCCCCUGAAUUGGGCCGUUUGAGUCCGGGUCAGGUGGGUGGUCCCUGAAUUGGGAAGUUUGACCCUGAGUCAGACGUGUGGCCCCUGAAUCGGGCCGUUUGACCUCGGGUCAGGUGGGUGGCCCCUGAAUUGGGCAGUUUGACCCUGAGUCAGACGUGUGGCCCCUGAAUCGGGCCGUUUGACCCCGGGUCAGGUGGGUGGUCCCUGAAUUGGGCAGUUUGACCCUGAGUCAGACGUGUGGCCCCUGAAUCGGGCCGUUUGACCCCGGGUCAGGUGGGUGGCCCCUGAAUUGGGCAGUUUGACCCUGAGUCAGACGUGUGGCCCCUGAAUCGGGCCGUUUGACCCCCGGUCAGGUGGGUGGCCCCUGAAUUGGGCAGUUUGACCCUGAGUCAGGCGGGUGGCCCCUGAAUUGGGCAGUUUGACCCUGAGUCAGACGUGUGGCCCCUGAAUCGGGCCGUUUGACCUCGGGUCAGGUGGGUGGUCCCUGAAUUGGGCAGUUUGACCCUGAGUCAGACGUGUGGCCCCUGAAUCGGGCCGUUUGACCCCCGGUCAGGUGGGUGGCCCCUGAAUUGGGCAGUUUGACCCUGAGUCAGACGUGUGGCCCCUGAAUUGGGCCGUUUGACCCCGGGUCAGGUGGGUGGCCCCUGAAUUGGGCAGUUUGACCCUGAGUCAGACGUGUGGCCCCUGAAUCGGGCCGUUUGACCCCCGGUCAGGUGGGUGGCCCCUGAAUUGGGCAGUUUGACCCUGAGUCAGGUGGGUGGCCCCUGAAUCGGGCAGUUUGACCCUGAGUCAGGUGGGUGGCCCCUCUUUGAUCUGGAAAACAAUCCUGUUGCAUGUUGCAUAGACUCCGCCCACAUACCACAUGGGUAAAAUGUUCCUGUUUUCAGGUUGCUUGUUAUUUUUGAACUUUGUUUUGAUUUCGACAAAAACUGUGACCUGAUGUUGCCAGGUUAUUCAUCUCACCCACUGUGGGUCAGACUGCUAUGUGUAACGGGGGUUCUGUCUGCCCGCUGUCUGUCCAUUUGGACCUCAUGUGAAUGUUGGUUUCUUGCUUCACUGAUUGAAAUCUUCACUAAUCAGGAUAAACUGAUGAAUUCUGGAUGAUUUGAACCUCAACUUGAUAUGAAUUUUAAAAAUACUCUGAAAUAGUGAUUUUGUUUGUGUUCGGUUCUGUCAAAGGUGAUCAGUUUACAUCAGGGGUCAUCGACCCGGCUCCUGGAGGUCACCUGACCUCCCUGCUCCACCCACUCAUAAUUAGUGAAGUCAGCUGCACACCAGAUGGGACUCAUCAGCUGUGGAAAAUGUGCAGGUGACCUCCAGGAGCAGGGUCAUGACCCCUAGUUUACAUCAUUUGAUGAAAGAGUUUGAAAUCACCUGCAGCACAGGAAUCAUCUCAGAAGCGUUUUUAAUGGCUGCGUAUGAAUCUGUGCUUUUGGUCGGCUUUUCACAGUUUAGCUGCAGUGUUCUUUUAUUGUGUGUGUGAACUUUGACCUUUGUGUUGCUGCUUCUCUGAAACAAACACUGGCUCUUCAACUCCAAAGGUUUUUCUGAAAGAAUGAGAACAAAACAUGCCUUUCUCUCAGAUUGUUCGACUUUAUUGCGGGGAAAAAAAGGAACCCUGGAUUCCCGGAGAAAUGCGCGGACCGAGUAGGCGGAGUCAAAGAGAAAAAUGUUUACAGACAUCACGUGGGCUUUGAUCAGACUGGUUCUUGGCGUUUUGUUUCGUCACAUUGUUUUUAAUCCACCCUUUGGGAUGUUCACCUCCAAUAUUUGCCUUAGAACUUGCAGAGGCCAUAGUUCACGUUCGAGUGUAUGCAGGGGCCCCGGGCCCCAUCCCCACGUCACCAGUGCAGACUCUCUCACACUUAUCUACCUGUGAAAUCCUUCAUACCUCUCAUAACUGGUCAAUGACUGUAUCAGCAAACGGCAUCAGGUGUUUUUCUACAUGCUUUUUACACAGAUGAUUAUUGUAUUCGUAGGUUUUUGGUGCAUCAUUUUUAAUGUAAUAGCUCCGAAGCUUGUAGUUCCAGUUGUUGUUUUUCUUUCUUUUUUCUAGAUGACUGUUUUGUGUUAAUAUUGUCCAUUUGAAAUAGUUGGUAUUUGCUUAUUCUCGACAGAGUUCUUACCUUCAUGAUUUUUAAAUCCUACAUGACCCUAAUUAAUGAAAGCUACUUAAUAACCAGUGUAAAUACGGUAUUUGUGCAAAAUGCAUUUUCAGCCAUUUCAGUUGCUGGUUUUUUUUUUUUUUUUUUUUUUUUUUUUUUUUUGUCUAGACACCAUUUCUGUUCAUGAAAUAAAGAAACAUGCAUAUCAUG